rnacentral:snRNA from 1 species
AUACUUAUCUGGCAGGGGAGAACCCACGAUUCAUGAAGGUGGUUUUCCCACGGAAGGCUCAUUUAUUAUACUCCAGAUGUGAUGACCUCUGUGACUUCCUCAAAUAGGAAACUUGAAUGCAUAAUUUGUGGUAGUGGGGGACUGAGUUCAUAUUCUCCCCUG